UGCCAGCCGCCGCGGUAAUACGUAGGGGGCAAGCGUUAUCCGGAAUCAUUGGGCGUAAAGGGUGCGUAGGCGGUUAUGUAAGUUAGAGGUGAAAGGCUAUGGCUCAACCAUAGUAAGCCUUUAAAACUGCAUAACUUGAGUGCAGGAGAGGAGAGUGGAAUUCCUAGUGUAGCGGUGAAAUGCGUAGAUAUCAGGAGGAACACCGAUGGCGAAGGCAUCUCUCUGGACCGAUACUGACGCUGAGGCGCGAAGGCGUGGGUAGCGAACAGGAUUAGAUA
rnacentral:rRNA from 1 species